rnacentral:misc_RNA from 1 species
GAAUUGUCAACCCAAAUCCUAAUCAGUAAAGUAUUCCUAUUCUUGUCGAUGCAGUUCCCCCACUACCGAUCUAUCCCUUUCUUGUUUGAAUUGUCAAUCCAAAACCUAAUGAAUCUUUGUUUUCCCUGAUCCAGUUCCUCUACCAGAACGAACCCAGUUAGAUUCAGGCACGUCAUGACCUAACUCAGUUCAUCAAAUUGGAUUUGCAAAUCAAAUUCAAUUCAGG